AUCUGCUCAAUGAAAUUUUCAAUAGCCGCAACUAUGUUGUGCUAAGGUAGCAUAAUCAUUUGUCUUUUAAUUAAAGACUAGAACGAAAGAUUUAACAUUUUCAUUUCUAUCUAAAAUAUACUUUUUUAAAACUAUCCUAAAUAUAAAAAGAUAUUUAUAUAAAAAAAAGACGAUAAGACCCUAUUGAACUUAACUGAAGUUUAACUGGGGCAGUUAAUUAAUUAAAAUUUUAAUUUUAUUAAUAAUUAAACAAACCUAAUAUAAUUAAAUUUUAAUCAAGUUACCAUAGGGAUAACAGCGUAAUAAUUUUCUUAAGAUCUUAUUUAAAAAAUAGUUUGCGACCUCGAUGUUGAAUUAAUAACCUAAUAAAUGCAAAAAUUUAAUAAAGGAAGUCUGUUCGACUUUUAAUUAAUUC
rnacentral:rRNA from 1 species